rnacentral:rRNA from 1 species
UACGAAGGGGGCUAGCGUUGUUCGGAAUUACUGGGCGUAAAGGGCGCGUAGGCGGCCUGUUAAGUCAGACGUGAAAUCCCUCGGCUCAACCGGGGAACUGCGUCUGAUACUGGCGGGCUUGAAUUCGGGAGAGGGAUGUGGAAUUCCAGGUGUAGCGGUGAAAUGCGUAGAUAUCUGGAGGAACACCGGUGGCGAAGGCGGCAUCCUGGACCGACAUUGACGCUGAGGCGCGAAAGCCAGGGGAGCAAACGGG